GGGGAAGGAGGUGUGGAAGCUGCUUUGCUGGGGCCACCCAGGGUGGGCUCAGGAAGGGAAGGAAUGUGACUGAGUCUGGGUGGGGCUGAGGAGAACACAGCCAGUUUUGAGUUUUUCUUGGGGCCCAGAGACAUGUGAAUAGACAUGGAGGCCCCUCACCCCCAGCCCCAGCACACACACUAGGACCCUUCAUGG
rnacentral:lncRNA from 1 species